GAGGUUCAGUGGUAGAGCAUCUGCCUGACAUGCAGAAGAACCCAGGUUCAAUCCCUGGCAUCUCCA